rnacentral:lncRNA from 1 species
GAUACCAUUUUCUAAAGUCUUAAAUUCAUGAUUGUGCAUAAAUACAACAAAGGUUCAAUAUCAGUGAUUGUCAUCAAAGAAUGACAUUUCAAUGUAUGGGAAAGUACUGGAGGAUAUUCAAAUCAAGAUUGAGAAAAUAAAUUAGAACUCAAGUUGAAUCAUCUGUGAAUAGAGCACGCACUAUUACCCUUCUUAGACCAAAGAAUGUCAACUUUGAAGAAGUCUGGGUUAAAUUUGUUGAGGAUACUCUUUCUGCUAAUUUUCAUGUAAGUAUAUUUGCAUGUAAAGCUUAACCCUUAUUUUAAUUAUUGUUAUUUUAUACUUCGUUCUUUUUUCAAUAGGAGAGAAGUUCCAGGUUCAGCAACAUGCGAACUAAUCAGAAGCUUCUCCAUACUAUGGGUAGAAAGGGUUAUCCACGUGUGGCUUAUGAAAUUGUACUCCUUACGAACAUAUCAUGUCUUUUUACUUGAAUUGUCCAAUUUCAAUAUAUUUGAUUACUACAUUUGUACUACAGAAGAAAAAGAAUCCACAUUUAAAAGGGUUAAGAACAGAAGUAUGAAAAUAUGGAC